rnacentral:rRNA from 1 species
AACGCGAAGAACCUUACCAAGUCUUGACAUCCUUUGACCACCCUAGAGAUAGGACGUUCCCUUCGGGGACAAGGUGACAGGUGGUGCAUGGUUGUCGUCAGCUCGUGUCGUGAGAUGUUGGGUUAAGUCCCGCAACGAGCGCAACCCCUAUUGCUAGUUGCCAGCGUUCAGUUGGGCACUCUAAUAAGACUGCCGGUGACAAACCGGAGGAAGGUGGGGAUGACGUCAAAUCAUCAUGCCCCUUAUGACCUGGGCUACACACGUGCUACGAUGGAUGGUACAACGAGCAGCAAACCCGCGAGGGCAAGCGAAUCUCUUAAAGCCAUUCUCAGUUCGGAUUGCAGGCUGCAACUCGCCUGCAUGAAGCUGGAAUCGCUAGUAAUCGUAGAUCAGCAUGCUACGGUGAAUACGUUCCCGGGUCUUGUACACACCG